rnacentral:rRNA from 1 species
AUUGAACGCUGGCGGCAGGCCUAACACAUGCAAGUCGAACGAGUGGCGGACGGGUGAGUAAUGUCUGGGAAACUGCCAGAUGGAGGGGGAUAACUACUGGAAACGGUAGAUAAUACCGCAUACCAUCGGAUGUGCCCAGAUGGGAUUAGCUGGUAGGUGGGGUCACGGCUCACCUAGGCGACGAUCCCUAGCUGGUCUGAGAGGAGGACCAGCCACACUGGAACGGAGACAGGGUCCAGACUCCUACGGGAGGCAGCAGUGGGGAAUAUGGCACAAUGGGCGCAAGCCGGAUGCAGCAAGGCCGCGUGUAGGAAGAAGGCCUGCGGGUUGUAAAGUACUUUCAGCGGGGAGGCGUUACUCGCAGAAGAAGCACCGGCUAACUCCGUGCCAGCCGCCGCGGUAAUUC